rnacentral:rRNA from 1 species
CCUACGGGUGGCAGCAGUGGGGGAUAUUGCACAAUGGGGGAAACCCUGAUGCAGCGACGCCGCGUGAGUGAAGAAGUAUUUCGGUAUGUAAAGCUCUAUUAGUAGGGAAGAAAAUGACAGUAUCUGACCAAGAAGCCCCGGCUAACUACGUGCCAGCAGCCGCGGUAAUACGUAGGGGGCAAGCGUUAUCCGGAUUUACUGGGCGUAAAGGGAGCGUAGACGGUUGUGUAAGUCUGGAGUGAAAGCCCGGGGCCCAACCCCAGGACUGCUUUGGAAACUGUGUAACUGGAGUACAGGAGGGGCAGGCGGAAUUCGUGGUGUAGCGGUGAAAUGCGUAGAUAUCAGGAGGAACACCGACUGCGAAGGCAGCCUGCUGGACUGCAACUGACGUUGAUGCUCGAAAGCGUGGGGAGCAAACAGGAUUAGAUACCCUUGUAGUC